CAGAGUUACAAUACUCCUAAACCCCUGUUUACUUUACCUAUACGUUGCUUCGGCAGGCGGCCCCAGGGAGGGGCCGUUGGGUGCCUGCCGAAGGUAUACCAAACUCUUGUUUUAUAAACCUAAAGCUUCUGAGUUAUACUUUUAAAUAAGUCA
rnacentral:misc_RNA from 1 species